rnacentral:rRNA from 1 species
UACGUAGGGGGCAAGCGUUGUCCGGAUUUAUUGGGCGUAAAGAGCGUGUAGGCGGCUUGGUAGGUCCGCUGUGAAAACUCGAGGCUCAACCUCGAGAUGUCGGCGGAAACCACUUGGCUAGAGUCCGGAAGAGGAGAGUGGAAUUCCUGGUGUAGCGGUGGAAUGCGCAGAUAUCAGGAGGAACACCAAUAGCGAAGGCAGCUCGCUGGGACGUUACUGACACUGAGGCGCGAAAGCGUGGGGAGCAAACAGG